UGGCUCAGACAGUAAAGUACUUGCCUUGUAAGCAUGAGAGCCUGAGUUCAAUCCUCAG
rnacentral:tRNA from 1 species